GGUGGCACCAACCAAUAAGCUGGUAGCCUGGACAGAAAGGGUAAAAAAGGAAGUGUCUCUGCUGUGGAAGAGCUCCGACCUGUGUCAUCACCUGUGGACAUGGCUCUGCAGUUUCGUCACCCUCCAAGGCAUACUCUACAGCGGGCUUCCAGGCAUUCAACUUGGACUGCUCCUGGACCUGCCAGCUUUCAGCGCGCAGAUGGCCACUGUGGACUUUUCUGCCUUUGACCCUCAUUGUUUCUUGGAGAGACUGUUCCUUUCCUUGUGGGAGACCCUGGCACCCUGGUUCCUUUGUCAUAAAUAAAUUGAUGAUGGGCUGGAGAAAAACUUGUCUGGCAUGUGGAAGGCCCCGGGUUUGAUCCCCAACACCACAGCACAAUGAAAGUACCAGCUGAUACAUGUGGAAGAAGUGAGAGUCGCCACCUGCACGCUGGCAGAGGGCUCUGGGCAGCUGGAGACAUGGAAGAUGGUUCAGUCGAGCAGGUGUUGGGCUGCUGAGCCCUGACUGUGAGCCUGUGUCCUUUGCUGCUCAGAAACACCUUCUCCAUGUUGCUCUGCUUCCUGCCUCCUGUUGUGGUUGAUACAUUGCAUCAAAAUGAGAAGUUUAGAAAUUUAACUAACAGACUCAGCAGGGAGCCAGGGUUCUUACUUUAUAAAUAUACUCAUUCUGUGCAAAAGGAGGGCAUGGGUGCCCUAGGGGGUAGGGGUGGCAUACAUACAAUAUAAAGAAAGAAAAGAGGCUUGUUCUUACCCACUUUUUGCUCUGGCUGUCUUUUCUGGCUGCUGCCUUGAACUGUUGCCCAUGUAGCAUGCCACCCUGCCUUGGAGCCUGUUGAUUAUGGGCUGAAACUUCCACAAACAGUGAACUAAAUAAACCUUUCCUUCCUGCA